CUCUGGAGGCGCACCCUCACGGCGGAUGAGGUCUCAGCCUCCAAAUUUGAGCAAGGUGGAAGCAGAUAAUUCAGAGCCCCAGGAAAUAUGGAGGCACAAGAUUAACAAGGCUGUUGUGUGAGUCACCAGAUGGAGGACAGAUGCCAACCAAGCAGGACACCUGUGGCAAGAAACCAACUAUUGUAUGAAGUCACUGAAAUCAAGGGAGUUCUUUGUUCCGGUAGCUGGCAUUACACUCACUGAUACUCUGACCUUUCCUCUCUGGGCCUCUGAUAUCAAUAAACCUUGAGCACCCCCCUGUCA